UUGCUUGAACCCAGCGCGGGGAGGUUGCAGUGAUUUGAGAUUGCGUCACUGCACUCCAGCCUGGGCAAAAGAACAAGCCUCCAUCUCAAAAAAAAAAAAAAAAAGCUUUGGUGGUAUACUGAGGUCUAUACCUUUUCUUUACCUUUUCAAGAAGGCUUCUGAGCUCUAUGAUUUAGGAAGAAAGAUUCAUUCUCUCCAGCCCCAGAGAGACAGAAAGCCCAGGAGGUGGAAUGUUAGCCACUGGAGAACUUGGGGGGGAUUAUGCGGGUGAAGUGUGUUCUUGUAACUUUUCUGUAAGUGUAUAAUUGUUUCAAAAUAGAUUUUUUGAAAGCAUUCAUAAUUCAGAACUCAUUCUGUAAAAAUCUAAAAUAUACUAUUCUUUUACAAAAAUAAUUAA